rnacentral:lncRNA from 1 species
UCAAAAGUCAUCUGGCCAGGCAGACUGAUGUGGGAGGGCUCUGCCAAUCAGUGCUUCCCAGUGAAGAAAUGAAGUCCAGAGUGGAGAAGGAGUUUGCAAAUCCCAGCUUUCCUCUUUCCACACACCAAGCAGCCUUUCAGGCUGGUGUGCGUUGGAGCAAGUCCAAAUAGGGCAGCAACAGAACAGAGAGGGAGGAAUAUCCGUGAAUGAACCUUUGUCUGUGGGAGAGCACAGACAUUGGCUGGCAGAGUUCAGGAGGGCAUUAGGAAACCUGAUAAGGAAGACUGGCCCAGAGAACGUCAUCUUUACUUGGAAUGAUCCCACCCUGGGUUGAUCUCCUCUGUAUCCCUGAUGUCUAGAGAAGUCUCUGAAACAAACAGGCAUCAGUUAACAUGCGACAAAUGAAGCUGGUGACAGGGCAGGAGCCUGCCACAGGUGUCCCUGAAGACACUCUGUGUGAGUUUGUUCUGUUUGGAGCAGAGGAGAACUAGAGCUUGACCACAUUAUGCCAGCUCAGGAAUGACUCAGAGUUACAAACUAUGUUUGCGGGCCAGUAAGAUGACACCAGUCAGGACCCUGGAGGAUGGUGAGCAGUGUUUUUUAAUAUUUUCCCCAUCAAGAUGUAGUUCUAGGGGUUGGGGAUUUAGCUCAGUGGUAGAACACUUGCCUAGCAAGUGCAAGGCCCUGGGUUCAGUCCUCAGGUCCAAAAAAAAAAAAA